GCCCUUCUGCCCGCUGGGAGCCCCCCGCCCAGCAGCUCUGGGUGGGGGCAGGAGAGGUCACCUGGCCGCAGUCCCUGUGCCUCCACAAGGACCACCCCCACAGGUGCCAGGGCCGUGCCAGCCUGGAGAGAGCACCCUGCGUUCUGGAAAUUAACCCAGGAAGGACGUUAGUGCUCGUGUGUCCGCCACCCUCUGUGCCAGGCCUGUGCCCGCAGCUUCUCACGUGAGCAAGGGUGAUCUUCAUGGGGACCUGCAAGGGACCUGCCACUGUCACCCUCGGUUUAAAAGCAAGAGAGUGAGGCGGAGGGAGUGAGGUGAAGGGGCCGGCCUUGAGCCACACACGGGUCCUGUCGCCCCCUCCCCGCCGUCUUGCCUGGACCUGGAGUGGGGCCGCAUCUCCACUGUGGUUGGAGGGUCAAGGGAGGCAGAAUGGGCAGGACAGGGCAGCUGGGGAGCAGGGUACCUGGCAGUGGGCACCACAGGGCAGAGGCCAGAGGCAAAGGGGUCGGCUCUGGGGGGAGCUGAAG
rnacentral:lncRNA from 1 species